AUUGAACGCUGGCGGCAGGCCUAACACAUGCAAGUCGAGCGGAUGCAGAGAGCUUGCUUGUGGUUUCAGGGGCCGAGGGGCGGGUAAGGCCUAGGAACCUGCGUGGUUGCGGGUUAGAGCGUCCGGACACGGGCGCUAAUACCGCAUACGUCCAGAGGGCGUACGGGGGGAAUCAUCGGACCUUCCGCCAUCACACGAGUCUAUGUCGGAUUAGCUAGUUGGUGGGGUAAAGGCCUACCAAGGCGACGAUCCGUAACUGGUCUGAGAGGAUGAUCAGUCACACUGGAACUGAGACACGGUCCAGACUCCUACGGGAGGCAGCAGUGGGGAAUAUUGGACAAUGGGCGAAAGCCUGAUCCAGCCAUGCCGCGUGUGUGAAGAAGGUCUUCGGGUUGUAAAGCACUUUUGGUGGGGAGGAAGAGCAGUAAGUUAAUACCUUGCUGUUUUGACGUUACCAACAGAAUAAGCACCGGCUAACUUCGUG
rnacentral:rRNA from 1 species